AAUAUUGGACAAUGGGCGAAAGCCUGAUCCAGCCAUGCCGCGUGUGUUAAGAAGGUCUUCGGGUUGUAAAGCACUUUAAGUUGGGAGGAAGGGCAGUCAGUUAAUACCUUUCUGUUAUGCCGUGACCGACCGAAUAAGCACCGGCCAACCUUGUGCCAGCAGCCGCGGUAAUACGAAGGGUGCAAGCGUCAAUCGGAAUUGCGGGGCGUAAAGCGCGGGUAGGUGGUUUGUUAAGUUGGAAGUGAAAGCCCCGGGCUCAACCUGGGAACUGCUUUGAAAACUGGCAAGCUAGAGUAUGGCAGAGGGUGGUGGAAUUUCCUGUGUAGCGGUGAAAUGCGUAGGUAUAGGAAGGAACACCAGUGGCGAUGGCGACCACCUGGGCUAAUACUGACACUGAGGUGCGAAAGCGUGGGGAGCAAAC
rnacentral:rRNA from 1 species